rnacentral:rRNA from 1 species
ACAGUGGACGCGAGCAUCUGUGGCCAAGUUUUUAAGGGCGCACGGUGGAUGCCUUGGCACCAGGAACCGAUGAAGGACGUGGGAGGCCACGAUAGGCCCCGGGGAGUCGUCAACCAGGCUUUGAUCCGGGGGUGUCCGAAUGGGGAAACCCGGCAGUCGUCAUGGGCUGUCACCCUUGCCUGAACACAUAGGGCAAGUGGAGGGAACGCGGGGAAGUGAAACAUCUCAGUACCCGCAGGAAGAGAAAACAACCGUGAUUCCGGGAGUAGUGGCGAGCGAAACCGGAUGAGGCCAAACCGUAUGCGUGUGAGACCCGGCAGGGGUUGCGCAUGCGGGGUUGUGGGAUCUCUCUUUCAUGGUCUGCCGGCCGUGAGACGAGUCAGAAACCGUUGAUGUAGGCGAAGGACAUGCGAAAGGUCCGGCGUAGAGGGUAAGACCCCCGUAGUCGAAACGUCAGCGGCUCGUUGGAGAGACACCCAAGUAGCACGGGGCCCGAGAAAUCCCGUGUGAAUCUGGCGGGACCACCCGCUAAGCCUAAAUAUUCCCUGGUGACCGAUAGCGGAUAGUACCGUGAGGGAAUGGUGAAAAGUACCGCGGGAGCGGAGUGAAAUAGUACCUGAAACCGUGUGCCUACAAGCCGUGGGAGCGUCGCGCAAGGACUUGUCCUUGCGUCGUGACUGCGUGCCUUUUGAAGAAUGAGCCUGCGAGUUUGCGGUGUGUUGCGAGGUUAACCCGGGUGGGGAAGCCGUAGCGAAAGCGAGUCCGAACAGGGCGUUUUCAGUAGCACGCUCAAGACCCGAAGCGGAGUGAUCUAGCCAUGGGCAGGUUGAAGCGGAGGUAAGACUUCGUGGAGGACCGAACCCACCAGGGUUGAAAACCUGGGGGAUGACCUGUGGUUAGGGGUGAAAGGCCAAUCAAACUCCGUGAUAGCUGGUUCUCCCCGAAAUGCAUUUAGGUGCAGCGUCGUGUGUUUCUUGCCGGAGGUAGAGCACUGGAUAGGCGAUGGGCCCUACCGGGUUACUGACCUUAGCCAAACUCCGAAUGCCGGUAAGUGAGAGCGCGGCAGUGAGACUGUGGGGGAUAAGCUCCAUGGUCGAGAGGGAAACAGCCCAGAGCAUCGACUAAGGCCCCUAAGCGUACGCUAAGUGGGAAAGGAUGUGGAGUCGCAGAGACAACCAGGAGGUUGGCUUAGAAGCAGCCACCCUUGAAAGAGUGCGUAAUAGCUCACUGGUCUAGUGAUUCCGCGCCGACAAUGUAGCGGGGCUCAAGCGUACCGCCGAAGUCGUGUCAUUGCAGCAACAAGCCCCAACGGGUGCUGUGAUGGGUAGGGGAGCGUCGUGUGCCGGGUGAAGCAGCGCCGGAAGGCAGUUGUGGACGGUUCACGAGUGAGAAUGCAGGCAUGAGUAGCGAUUCACACGUGAGAAACGUGUGCGCCGAUUGACUAAGGGUUCCUGGGUCAAGCUGAUCUGCCCAGGGUAAGUCGGGACCUAAGGCGAGGCCGACAGGCGUAGUCGAUGGAUAACCGGUUGAUAUUCCGGUACCCGCUGUGAAGCGUCAAACAUCGA